rnacentral:tRNA from 1 species
GCCUGGGUGGCUCAGUUGGUUAAGCGUCUGACUCUUGGUUUCAGCUCAGGUCAGGAGCUCAGCAUUCAUGGGUUCGAGCCCCACCCUGGGCU